GCGGGUAUAGUUCAACGGUAGAACUUCAGCCUUCCAAGCUGAUAGUGCGGGUUCGAUUCCCGCUACCCGCUCCA
rnacentral:tRNA from 2 species